AAGGUAGAAAAAUGCCCGCAAGGAUACGUGGUUUGUCAAGCGAAAAAUAAACAUCGACUUGAUGCUAUCCAAACACGGAUCAGUAAUCAAGCUCCUGCUGAAGGAACUGUCCAGUCUGGCAGUGAUGGCUGUCCGUUCGUUGAGAAACCCAAGGAAAAUGUUAAUAUUCCGGAUGAUCAACUGUUACAAAAAAAGACCAAAGUGUCACCUAAAAUCAUAAAAAAAGAACAAGACAAGAAGACGUAUAAGUUAUUCGAAAUAGUAGAGUUCUCGUGCCAAGCAUCAGGUAACCCUAAGCCGGUUAUUACAUGGGAGUAUUUGAAUGACAAAAAAGCGCUCGUACAAAAUGGAAAGAUUACUUUAGAGGUAAUUA